ACGACAUCGCGCACGCUCAGUUCUUUCCGUUCUUUGUUCAAGCGGAUCGCCAUCGGGAGGUGUUCCUCGCCACCAGGGUGGGGAGCCGGGAACGAAUGGUUCUCUGCGGGGCGAAACCUACGAUUUUGUAUUGUUAGACCUGCGGUGAGAAGUUUAUUUGAAGAAAAACCCCAACUGGAAGCAAACCACAGCUGAAGACGAGGGAACAGCAACAAGUGAAUUGGCCCGAGGACUGAGAACAGCAACUGGAGAGACCAACUUUGCAUCAAGAGACUCGGAUUUCCCAGUGAUUCAGUCAGGAGAAAGUUUGUUUUCACCAUAUGUUAAUGUGAAGAGUGAACAGUAAAUGGUUAAUCUUACUGCGAUCUGGUUUCAUUCACUGUGGUUUAUCUCGACAUUGAAUUCGGCGUUAUUAGUACACCCGAAGGAGAACGUGACAGUGAAAAAGCGGCAUUAUCAGGUGUUUCAAGUGCUGCAAUGUCAGCUCGAUCCAGCAUCAAGUCGACACCGCCCCGCGACAAGGACGGUAGAACGACAUCAAGUAAGCCCACCCAGGUGUUAUCAGGUGUUUCAAGUGCUGCAAUGUCAGCUCGAUCCAGCAUCAAGUCGACACCGCCCCGCGACAAGGACGGUAGACCGACAUCAAGUAAGCCCACCCAGGUGUUAUCAGGUGUUUCAAGUGCUGCAAUGUCAGCUCGAUCCAGCAUCAAGUCGAUGGCGCCCAGCGACAAGGGCAGUAGAGCGACAUCAAGUAAGUCCACCCAGGCAAGAGCCAAGGCAUUAGCUGCCAAGGUGCGACUGCGUUACGCCAGACAAGAAGCAGUUUUGAAAAUGGAACAGGCCACCAGAGAAGCCGAAAUCCAGAAAGAAAAGGCUGCCAGAGAAGCCGAAAUCCAGAAGGAAAGGGCCGCCAGACAAAGUGAAGCGGCCACCAGUGAAGCCGAAACCCAGAAGGAAUGGGCCACCCAAGAAGCUGAAACCCAGUUGGAAAUGACAAAAAUAUCGACAGAGUUGCAAGUGCUGCAGCUAGAAAGAGAAGGAGAAGCUGCCAAGGCGGAAGCAGAGUACAUAGAAGAAGCUGAAGGGACGCAUGAUCUGACCGAAGUAAGAUCUACUUUAGAAAGGACCAGAUUGGAACGCACAAGCGACUAUGUCCGAUCUCAAAUAGACAGGCAGGCUCGUCCUUCCUCUCCAUAUGUAUUCGAUAACUUCCCAAGAUACAAGGAAGACAACUUACCCUUGCGACUCUGCGAUGAAGUCAAGAAUGAAAGAGCUGACAUCCAAUACUUCUCGACACCAAACUUACAAGGUUUGAUGCGAAGAGAUGCAGAGGUCGAAUCCAGGACGGCAAAUUCCAUAAGAAACGUACGCUCUCAGUCAUAUAGGCACCAACGUACUUCUCCAGCCCGCAUGCCGCUUACAAGUGAUCCCGUGAUGCAGUAUUUAGCACGACGGGAUCUUGUCACUUCGGAACUGUACCAGUUUGACGAUAAACCUGAAAAUUACCGUGCAUGGUACUCCACAUUCACCAACGCUAUCGACGGAGUGUAGCUCAGAGCAACCCAAGAGUUGGACCUUAUGGCGAAAUGGCUGGGAAAAGAAUCACGCGAACAGGUGAGACGCAUACGUUCAGUGUACAUCAACAAACCCGAGCUAGCUUUAAGCAAAGCGUGGGAGAGACUUCGGGAGGGCUAUGGGGCCCCCGAAAAUAUUGAAGCGGCGCUAUAUCGACGUCUGGAAAACUUUCCUAAGAUGACAGCCAAAGAUCACUUUAAAGUUAAGAGAAUUCGGAGAUUUACUCAUGGAGAUCCAAGGCACCAAAGAAGACGGCUACUCAGCUGGUCUAGUAUACCUAGAUACUCCAUCCGGGAUUAGACAAGUCGUGGACAAACUUCCAUUUGGGCUGCAGGACAGGUGGCUGUCCGUUGCUUUAGAAUACAAGGUAAACCACGAUGAUCGAUUUCCUCCCUUUAAGCUCCUCACUAGGUUUGUGUGCUGGGAGGCAAGGAAGAGAAACAACCCUAGCCUCGCGGGUCCAGGAAGCAGUACGAUUUACACCAAGCCAGGUAGAUCCUCUUCGAAUGUUUUCAACAUUGAUAAACCCGCCUCACUGCUCAAGACUGAAGCCCUUACAACUAACAACGACCCUAGCAAGGAUUGUCCACCGCAAACCGACAACGCUCCUUCACCCACACAACAGGACAGCGGGGAGGGAGAGGCUCACUCCAGGACAACAAUUGUCAGCUCGAACUGUACAGAAGUUUGCGGUCAAGCUCAGUCAAGCCGUUCUUGUUCCAAGAUCUGCCUCACUAAGGUGUACCCUAAAGGAGCCAAAGACAAGGCCAUCAAAGCCUAUGCGAUUCUGGAUGAUCAGAGCAAUCGCUCACUAGUCAGUCCAGAGUUCUUUAAAUUGUUCAACAUUGAGAGUGAGCAGUUCCCAUACUACCUCAAAACUUGCUCAGGCAACAUGGAAACCCAAGGAAGGAAGGCAGAAGGCAUCCAGAUCGAGUUCCUGGAUGGUAAAGUCGUCAUCUGUCUCCCUCCGCUCUUACAGUGCAAUGGAAUCAUGAAUAACUGCACUGAGAUCCCCACACAAAGUGCGGCGCUACACCAGCCACAUCUCCACCACAUCGCCAAACACAUCCCAGAACUGGAUCCAAAAGCGGAAAUACUCCUGCUAUUAGGAAGAGAUGUAAUCCGGGUGCACAAGGUUAGGCAGCAGGUCAAUGGACCACACGACGCCCCCUUUGCGCAACGCUUGGAUCUAGGCUGGGUGGUGAUAGGAAGGGUGUGCCCUGAAGACGUACACAAACCGAUGGUUAAAACACUCAAGACCAAUGUGCUAGAGAGUGGCCGCCAUUCAAUCUUUCAACCCUGCCCGAGUGUCCCGUGCAUUACGGAAGCACAACAAGACGUUAACAAGCGUAAAGUAACUGACGAGACGUUAGGUCAGUCAGUUUUCAUUCAAACCGAGCACGGAAACAAACUUGCACAAUCAGCUCAAGAUGCCAUUUCUUUAAAAACAAAGGACACCAAGGUCUUCAGAGAUGAAGCAAAUAAUGGGGUUGCCCCAUUGCCUUUCAGAGAACCACGCCAGCGCUCACCAGAUAACAAAGAGCAGGCAGUCAAACGGUUCACGUCCUUACGGAAAACCCGGAAAAGGAAACCUGAGAUGCAGCAACGCACCGGAUUGACCCAUGAGGUACUGUGCACCCUAAUGGCAGAGGUCACAGCCAUUAUAAACUCACAACCACUCCUGCCUGUGUCCUCUGACCCAGAAAACCCCUACAUACUUUCGCCAUCAACGCUCCUUACGCAGAAGGCAGGAGCUCCCCCUCCACCAGGAGGCUUCUCAGACGAGGAUUUCUACACAAAGCAAUGGAGACAAGUCCAGGCUCUGGCAAAUCAGUUCUGGUCUUGCUGGAGACAGGAAUAUCUACCCUUGUUGCAACACAGACAAAAGUGGACAGAACCCCGCAGGAAUCUUCAAGUUGGAGACUUAGUCCUGCUCAGGGACAAGCAAAUCACCCACAACAGCUGGCCAAUGGCCAGAAUCACUGCUACAUUCCCUAGCAGGGAUGGACAUGUCAGGAAGAUCGAAUUGAAGACUACCGACCAAGGCGAUGUGAAAAUUUACCAAAGGCCAGUUACAGAAGUUAUUCUACUACCUAAUGACUGAUUAAGAGACUAAGUUUUGUACUCUGUUCAUUAUGACCUUACGAAGGUCAAGCGGGGAGUGUGCUGUCUUUAUGACAGUUAUUUAGUUUAUAAUAUUUUCGCUUAGUAAUUCAUUCGAUAGUAUUUUCUAGUUAGAAUUAGAAGUGUUUAAAGUAUAUUCAUUGCAUGUAAAAUAUAUCGGCAUGCGAUGACGUCACAUCUGGUUUCGCCGCGUCUUGUGGGAAAGUACCGGUUUGAAAUUAACGCGAGGGUGGGGGCUCACCACGAGGCACACCUGAGCAGAAGUUGUUUUGCAGGCAUGAGAAAUCACAGUGAGAGCAACGCUGUAAGUUAAUAGAUAAUCGAUAUAUUGAACUAAGAUGUUAAUGCUGAUCCUGUUAAAAGUAACGACGGUCGAUAAUGUUUAUGCUUUCGUUAGUUAAAGAGUUGCGGAUAGUUUGCAUUGAAGUGUUUUUAAAGUAGUCAAUGGAGCAGGUAAACUCUGCCUGUAUACUGCAUCUUAGUGUAAUGUAGUUAUAGUCACCUUUGCAAGUAUUUACAAUUGAAAUGUGAGAUUAAGGAAGGAACAAAUACUGUAUCAAUCUUGUAUUGUUUUAUCAACAGUUUUCACCAUAUGUUAAUGUGAAGAGUGAACAGUAAAUGGUUAAUCUUACUGCGAUCUGGUUUCAUUCACUGUGGUUUAUCUCGACGUUGAAUUCGGCGUUCCGUUACACCCGAAGGAGAACGUGACAGGUAUGUAAUGUCUAAAGGACCAGUGUUUGAGUAAAUGAGACUCACCAACUUUCUCCUGAUUGAAUCACUGGAAUCUCCGAGUCAGACGGGUUCUCUCCAGUCGGUGCUCUCAAUCCUCGGGCUGUUUCACUUG